rnacentral:rRNA from 1 species
UACGAACUGUGCGAACGUUAUUCGGAAUCACUGGGCUUAAAGGGUGCGUAGGCGGCUGCCUAAGUCAGGUGUGAAAUCUCUCGGCUCAACCGGGAAACUGCGCUUGAUACUGGGCGGCUCGAGUGAGGUAGGGGUGUGUGGAACUUCCGGUGAAGCGGUGAAAUGUGUAGAUAUCGGAAGGAACGCCAGCAGCGAAAGCGGCACACUGGGCCUUUUCUGACGCUGAGGCACGAAAGCCAGGGGAGCGAACGGG